rnacentral:rRNA from 1 species
UGUUCAGGUAUUGACGGUAUUUAACCAGAAAGCCACGGCUAACUACGUGCCAGCAGCCGCGGUAAUACGUAGGUGGCAAGCGUUGUCCGGAUUUAUUGGGCGUAAAGCGAGCGCAGGCGGUUUUUUAAGUCUGAUGUGAAAGCCUUCGGCUCAACCGAAGAAGUGCAUCGGAAACUGGGAAACUUGAGUGCAGAAGAGGACAGUGGAACUCCAUGUGUAGCGGUGAAAUGCGUAGAUAUAUGGAAGAACACCAGUGGCGAAGGCGGCUGUCUGG